rnacentral:rRNA from 1 species
GUUAGGAAAUGCAGGCGGUGAAUAGCUGUCCUGUUUGACCAUGCAGCAAAGGAAGCACCGGCUAAAUACGUGCCAGCAGCCGCGGUAAUACGUAUGGUGCAAACGUUGUUCGGAAUCACUGGGCCUAAAGAGCGCGUAGGCGGUCUGGUCAGUCAUGUGUGAAAUCCCUCGGCUCAACCGAGGAACUGCAGAUGAUACUGCUGGACUAGAGUGCAGGAGGGGAGAGUGGAACUUCUGGUAAU